GAGGAUAGCAGUAUUCAUUAAAAGUGAGAACGUUUUGCUAUUUAUAAUGUGUAUAUUUUUUCAAUCAAAGGAGUUGCUCGUGUUACUGACAGUUCACAAAUGGUGAGACAAAGACCCACUGACUGUAAUCUGAGUGCAGGCAUGCGCAGGGAACUGUCUCCCAAGAGGUACACACUACAUUUGAGAAUCUCAAAACUUAUCCAAUUCAUAAAUCAGGGAGUUCGUUUUAAUGGGCUUGUAAAGCAGAUAUGGCGACACCUCGACGUCUUACUAACGCUGCCCACCGCUCGCCCCCUCCGUCAUCCCCCAUCCCCGCCGCAUCCGUGUGAAGACCAUCAGAACUUAGUCUCAGCGAAAGCGCAACAGCAAACAGAUGUACAAACAGUGAAGGACCAAAGCAAGGACUCCUGCCAUGAACAUAUACUGAGGACAGAGGGAGGAAGGAAAUCAACACAAAUAUCCCUCCCACCUAUAGGCAAAGAAUAGGGAGUCAAACAGAAGAGAGGAGAGAGAGAGAGAGAGAGAGAGAGAGAGAGAGAGAGAGACGGAGGACAGUCGAUGGAUACAGCCUGGACAGAGAGACUCUUCAGUUAAAGGACUAAGGACUCUUGAGACAUGGAGGGUCCAGGAAGACACUUGCCUCCAGCCAUGGUGUGGUGUGAGCGGGGUAUCCAGGUGCUCCUCACUACCGUGGGAGCCUUUGCGGCCUUUACCCUGAUGGCGGUGGCCAUCGGCACAGACUACUGGCUCUACGCCCGGGCUUUCAUCUGCAACAGCACAGCCAACUCCUCCAAUCAGGACGACCCCCACAACAAGGACAAGAAGGACCCGGGAGCCCUAACCCACUCCGGACUGUGGAGGAUCUGCUGUCUAGAGGGGUUGAAAAGAGGGGUGUGCUCCCAGAUCAAUCACUUUCCAGAGGAUGCUGAUUACGACCAGGAUGCUGCAGAGUACCUCUUACGUGUAGUGCGUGCCUCCAGCAUCUUCCCCAUCCUGAGUGCCAUCUUGCUGCUGCUGGGCGGCGUGUGCGUGGCCUCCAGCCGCUUCUACAAGACUAAGAGGCACAUCAUCCUGGGAGCCGGCAUCCUGUUUGUGGUGGCAGGCCUGAGCAACAUCAUCGGGGUGAUUGUGUACAUCUCGGCGGCCCUAAGCGACAUCUCGCCAAAGAAGGACGAGGACAAGAAGUGGCACUACUCGUACGGCUGGUCCUUCUACUUCGGCGGCCUGUCCUUCAUCAUGGCUGAGGUGGUGGGCGUGCUGGCGGUGAACAUCUACAUCGAGCGCAACAAAGAGCUGCGCUGCCGCUCGCGCACCGACCUGCUGCGCACCACCACCUCUGCCAUGCUGCGCCUGCCAGGUUACCGCUUCCGGCGCCGCUCGCGUUCCAGCUCCCGCUCCACCGACCCCACCGCCCACUCCCGAGACCCCUCCCCCG
rnacentral:lncRNA from 1 species